rnacentral:rRNA from 1 species
AACGAACGCUGGCGGCAUGCCUAACACAUGCAAGUCGAACGAGACCUUCGGGUCUAGUGGCGCACGGGUGCGUAACGCGUGGGAACCUGCCCUUAGGUUCGGAAUAACUCCCCGAAAGGGGUGCUAAUACCGGAUAAUGUCUUCGGACCAAAGAUUUAUCGCCUUUGGAUGGGCCCGCGUUGGAUUAGCUAGUUGGUAGGGUAAAAGCCUACCAAGGCGACGAUCCAUAGCUGGUCUGAGCGGAUGAUCAGCCACACUGGGACUGAGACACGGCCCAGACUCCUACGGGAGGCAGCAGUGGGGAAUAUUGGACAAUGGGCGAAAGCCUGAUCCAGCAAUGCCGCGUGAGUGAUGAAGGCCUUAGGGUUGUAAAGCUCUUUUACCCGGGAUGAUAAUGACAGUACCGGGAGAAUAAGCUCCGGCUAACUCCGUG